rnacentral:lncRNA from 1 species
GAAAUAGUUUUUAUGGAAGUAAGCUUUACAACGGUCAAGAAACUCUAUCGAGCUAGAGUCAUGAUGACAAUUUAGUUCCCCAUAAAAUUCAUCAUGACAAGGUGAGAGAAAACGAUUGUCAUUAUUACUCUUUUAAAAUCCACUAUCACACAGUAACUUACCAUAAAGUUGACACACUCAAGAAAGAAGGAAUUCCAAGAAUUUCUGUC